rnacentral:rRNA from 1 species
AGUGAACGCUGGCGGCAGGCCUAACACAUGCAAGUCGAGCGGCAGCGGGUCCUUCGGGCUGCCGGCGAGCGGCGGACGGGUGAGGAAUACAUCGGAAUCUGCCCUGUCGUGGGGGAUAACCUAGGGAAACUUAGGCUAAUACCGCAUACGACCUACGGGUGAAAGCGGGGGAUCGCAAGACCUCGCGCGACAGGAUGAGCCGAUGUCCGAUUAGCUAGUUGGCGGGGUAAAGGCCCACCAAGGCGACGAUCGGUAGCUGGUCUGAGAGGAUGAUCAGCCACACUGGGACUGAGACACGGCCCAGACUCCUACGGGAGGCAGCAGUGGGGAAUAUUGGACAAUGGGCGCAAGCCUGAUCCAGCCAUGCCGCGUGGGUGAAGAAGGCCUUCGGGUUGUAAAGCCCUUUUGUCCGGGAAGAAAUCGUCCGGGCUAAUACCCCGGGCGGAUGACGGUACCGGAAGAAUAAGCACCGGCUAACUUCGUG